rnacentral:lncRNA from 1 species
UAGAGAACUAAGGUCGAGGGAGAACGUCAAAAAAUAGAAAAUUUAAAUAUACAACCAUGAUUGAUUUCUGACAAUCCGACCACUGAAAAUAUAAUAAAUUGCAUUUAAUACACCAUUAAGUUCCUUUUAUAUGGAGACCAUUCAAUUCAAAUCCAGUAAAAAUAAAAUAUGGCCUUUUUUGCAAAAAUUUAAAGGGUAAACGUGGUAAAAAGAGAGGAAAGGCCGGGGCAAAAGCGUCAUCGGAACCUACCGAAGUCCGCCAGCUUCCUUGACCGGUUCGGCCCGAGCGAGGUGGCCCCGCCGGAAACGUGACGACGGUUGGGAUGAUUUGGCGUGCUCCGGAGCUCGUCGGAGGACCCCACCUCCGCCGCCGCCUGGCUCCUACGGUGGAUGGAACUAGCCAUCACUAGUGGGCUCAGGCAGACGGCGAAGCCCGCGAGCCCACCCACGCGGUGGUGGUAAGCCGCCGCCGCCGGCGGCCGCCGCAUCGGCGACGGAGUC